UAACAAAUGAGUCUUUUAAUAGCAUCCAAGCAUAGCAUGUUAAUGUUAAUGUUAUAAUAAAUAGAAGGAAAAGACACAGUGGAAAACAAAAAUAAAAGCGCGGAAAACAAAACCCAAAUGCCCUUUUUCAUUUUUUUCAAUCUUCCCCCAAUUUUUCUUUUCUCGCUGACCCCUCCCUCAACGUGGCUACCACCUGAACGUCACCGCCGACUCACUGCACUCCUCGCCCAACGGCUCUCUGCUCAUCGAACUGGUCGCCGACUCGUCGCACCGAACAGAUCCGCCAGGAAUUCGCUUUCUUGAUGCCUUUUCUGGUUUUCGUGAAGCUUCGACAAUUCCUCGGUUCCAUCAUCUUCUUCAUAUUCAACUUUCUGAUCACGGACGUUUCUGCAACUAUUGGCAACUGUAUUUUGAUCACUGACGACAAGCAUUUCUUCCUAAUCAAUAAUAAGAUAAUGGCUUCUAGUUUGACUGGAUCGACGAUGAGGGACCCCCUUUCAGAGAAUCUUAUGGGCUACUAAAUAUUCUAGUUGUAGCAAUAGUUAGUAAAAUUUGCAAAUGUGGCUUUGAGAAUCUUUUAUUUUACUAGUCAUUGAUAUUUUUCUUUUCAUACAUGAUUGGCUUAUUAAUUGAAGUAUUCCAUAGUUGAGCAAUGAGUUCCAUUCAUACUAAACUAAGGAAGCUGGCUAUUUUUACUUUGGUCUGUGCUCAAAUUUUUAAGCCGUUUUAGUACUUAUUCAUUUUCUAUUGAACAGUCUCAUAGGGCAUAUGAUCAAAUGGAAAUGGCAUCUUUCUUGAAUUUUGAAGUGUUUUUUUUUCCCGAAUAUGUUGACAAGCAUGUUAGAAUGAAGGAAAAGCUAGGGAAAUCUGGAUAAGGCAGUUGAGCAUGGUGAAUUAUCCAAACCACUUAUUUAGGCCUUGAUACAUUUUGAGGCAAUUCAGUCUACGGCAAAGAGAAUUGAUUAUUUAGAUUCAUUAGUUGAAAAGGUCAUAGUGCCCAACACAGAGAAAGCAACGGUCGUGAGUGCUUCAAUGAGGGAGGAGUUAUCAAGCAUUUUCUUCGAGAGAGAAGCUGAAAAGCAAGGAAUGUACGCAAGGCAGUCACAGGCAAGGGAAGAGGUAGAGACGUUGUGUGAAGAAGAUGAAGACGAGCACGGUGACACCUUAUGUGGGGUAUGCGAUGAGAACUAUGCUUCAGAUGAAUUUUGGAUUUGCUGUGAUAUUUGUGAGAAAUGGUUCCACGAAAAAUUUGUUGUAUGAAGAAAUGCUUCAGUUUAUCAGUUUUCUUGUGAUGUAUUGAGCUUUCUAAAACAGGGUAGUUGGUUUUUGUUUAGGUUUGUUCUUAAAGGAUUUUUUUCCUUUAUAAACAAAAUUGUAAUGCAUAGAAGAUAACAUAUAUUAUUCAAUGAGAUAUUAUAUGUAUAGUUCUAUGGUAAUUCUUCUAUUAAUAA